UGAAUAAAAAGUUAGGUUAGGCAUCCCAAAAGGUAGAUGAUACCUGAUCAGACCAUUAAAGAGAUACUUUAUUGGAUUAUCAAUUUGACCCAAUUAGUGGCUGAGUAUUAACUAAAAAAAUUUCAAGAGCUUUUCUUUCACCAACUCUCCACUUUACUCUUUAAAUCUUCUAACUUAAUGUGAGAGAGGUUUAUUAUCUUCUUGC
rnacentral:lncRNA from 1 species